UCGACGUGAACAGUGAAGACGUGGACGUUUUUCUUUUUUCUUUUUCGGCGGAAUCCAUCGUCAACAUCGUCCAUCCACAACGUAAACGAAAUGGCUUGCCCAGAGUACACAUCGUGACAGCGCUCCGCCUUCAAACCGAGGGCCUUUUGCAAGGCGCAUGGACUGCUCAUAUAAAAGUUAGUCAGCAUGAAGCAUUUGCAUGGGAACCGACUGACUGUCUUCGGCGUGCACAUUGCUGAAGACAGUGAAGACGUCUGAGCCGACAGAAAGAAGCACAUGGCUACAGCGAUCAAUGAAGAAAUGGCUUCAUCUAUGAUGGCUGGCCUUUGGACUCUGGAAUGAAGCUACACAGACGCACCACCAGCCUCGCCUGUGCCCUGGAACAUUGGUUUGAAUGAGUCUGUUCUUCAAUGUAGAACGGCCACAAGACAUGUCAUCACAUAGAAGGCUUAGUGCAAGCUCUAAAUAUUGUACAGGAGACUAGA